CCCAGCCACAGCCCCAAGAGCAGCAGCAGCCUCAGGAACACCUGAGGCCAGAGCAGACACGGCAGGGCUGGGGAAUGGCUUUGGAUUCGAACAGGACACGGCUCUGCAGCGCUACAGAACUCCAACCUCCCCCGGGGCACACGCGUGGUUCUGAACACCGGCUGGAACCGAGCACGGGGAAUGAAGGCGUUAACUCAGGCAGUGGGUCAGGAGUUGAUCAUCUGGCAACGCGGCUGACUGACGGGAUGGGAACUGUACAGGUCAAGUGCAGCAUCACACCCUGUGGAGGGCCCUUCGCGAGGGGCCGCGCGUGUCAGUCAGGUCCAAACAUAAAAAAUAAAAUUAAAAAGCAACAAUCA